UGGGGAAUAUUGGACAAUGGGGGAAACCCUGAUCCAGCAAUGCCGCGUGAGUGAAGAAGGCCUUAGGGUUGUAAAGCUCUUUCGCCCGCGAAGAUAAUGACGGUAGCGGGAGAAGAAGCCCCGGCUAACUCCGUGCCAGCAGCCGCGGUAAUACGGAGGGGGCUAGCGUUGUUCGGAAUUACUGGGCGUAAAGCGUGCGCAGGCGGUUUUGUAAGACAGAUGUGAAAUCCCCGGGCUUAACCUGGGAACUGCGUUUGUGACUGCAACGCUGGAGUACGGCAGAGGGGGGUGGAAUUCCACGUGUAGCAGUGAAAUGCGUAGAGAUGUGGAGGAACACCGAUGGCGAAGGCAGCCCCCUGGGCCUGUACUGACGCUCAUGCACGAAAGCGUGGGGAGCAAACA
rnacentral:rRNA from 1 species